ACCCCAGACCCCACCGCUACUGCUGGCCUUGAAGAAGACAGUGCCAGCCCCAGCUCAGCCCAACCCAGACCUCCCUUGAUCUAUCAGAGCACCUCUUGGCCACACAGCCCCCAUGCUAGCAAACCAGAGAGGCAGGCGGAGGUGGAGGAAGGCUGGUCCCAAGCUCAGAUCUCAAGGCAUCACCAUGGAGACGUUGCGCAGGCUGCCAGCCAGCCACACAAAAGGAACUGCGGGCUGCCUGGCUCACCUGGGACCUGAGCUAAGAAGGAAGUGGCAAAUGUGUUUCAUUUUCUUUCUUCUUUCGCUCUCAGUAUAAAAGAAGAAGCCAUUUAUACCAGCCACUCACCCCACGCAGUCCCUGAGAGGAAAUCCGAAGCCCACCCUUCUGUGACAGCUGGACUCCUGAGAAGCCUGGUUUGGGUUCUCUAGCAGAAAGAUCUGAAAAGAAAGAUGGGAGCUAAGAGCAAACACUAUUGGUUCUUCUUUGCUCCUGCCUAUGUGGAGGGACCCACUCAGAGCCUCAUGUGUACGUUGUGAGUAUAGGUUGGAAUCUUUGAACUUCUGAAACCAAAAGUUUGUGUCAUUGAUUAGAGACUAUAUCCCUUUAUAUAGGGAUAAAAAAACACCCCCUGGGUAACAACACUGGGAUGUUGUCAGCCCCAUACGCACUCCUCUGUCUCCUCAUGGUCAUCAUGGUGGACCAAGCAUACCAGUGCAGCCAGUUUCUCCACCCAGUGGACUAGAGAAACCUGCCAAUUCAAGGAAGGGUCAAGUAAAGAGAGCACAAAGGAGUCAGGACCCUGGGAACAGGAGGGGCUGCAGCCCGUUACAGAAAUGCAAGCUGCAAGCUGUUGCUUCUGGGUUCGGAAAAGAGGGAGUACCAGCCAGCAAGCAAUCUUCACACAUGCAUUGUGGCUCUCCUCUGCAAAGGGAACAAAAAGAGACUCCAAUUCAACUUCCCUUCCAGCGUGCCCCAGCUUCUUCUAACUGGUGAGCCAAGUGCAGUCCACCAGCAGGCAGAGCCCACACAUCAAGUGUUGAGGUUUGGUGUUUUGCUGUGCAAAAGUGCAGGCCCAGAAGUGGAAUGAAGCCACCACAAGGCUCCGAAGAAAGGCCAAGCAGUGUCUGAUUCAGACUUUAGUAGCAAGUGCUCCCCAUAAGGAUGGGCCAUGAGUCUGCCCCAGCGUGCUGCUGACAAGAGGCCAGACGUUAUAAAUAUGUGUCAUACUUUAUAAUUUU